CUAAGAAUCUUCCGCAAUGGACGAAAGUCUGACGGAGCGACGCCGCGUGGGUGAUGAAGGCGGAAACGUUGUAAAACCCUUUUGUCGACGAGGAAUAAGGUGGGGAGGGAAUGCCUCACUGAUGACGGUAGUCGGCGAAUAAGCCCCGGCUAAUUACGUGCCAGCAGCCGCGGUAACACGUAUGGGGCGAGCGUUGUUCGGAAUUAUUGGGCGUAAAGGGUGUGCAGGCGGUUAUCUAAGUCUGGCGUGAAAGACCCGAGCUUAACUCGGGGAACGCGUUGGAAACUGGGUGACUAGAGUUCUGGAGGGGUAGCUGGAAUUCCAGGUGUAGGGGUGAAAUCUGUAGAUAUCUGGAAGAACAUCAGUGGCGAAGGCGAGCUACUAGCCAAGGACUGACGCUGAGACACGAAAGCGUGGGGAGCAAACAGGAUUAGAUACCCGGGUAGUCC
rnacentral:rRNA from 1 species